rnacentral:tRNA from 1 species
AAAAAGAUAAGCUAACAAAGCUAAUAGGUUCAUACCCUAUUUAUGAAAGUAAAACCUUUCUCUUUUUA